rnacentral:rRNA from 1 species
GACGAACGCUGGCGGCGUGCUUAAUACAUGCAAGUCGAACGGAAAGGCCCUGGUUUGGUGGUGUGGUCGAGUGGCGAACGGGUGAGUAACACGUGAGUAACCUGCCCGUUACUGUGGGAUAACUUUUGGAAACUGUGGCUAAUACCGGAUAAGAGCACCUGCUGCAUGGUGGGUGUUGAAAAGUUUCGGCGGCUGGGGAUGGAGUCGAGGCUUAUCCGUUUGUUGGUGGGGUAGUGGCUUCGCACGGCCAUGACGGGUAGCCGGCCUGGGAGGGUGACCGGCCACAUUGGGCCUGGGGUGGCACCCGGAGUGCUACGGGGGCAAGGGGUGGGAGAUAUUGCACGCUGGGCGGAAGCCGGAUGGAGCAUCGCCGCGUGGGAGAGCUCGGUCUUAGGGUUAGAACCCGCGUGAGACUGGAAAGAACAGUCAGUGACGGUAAUGGAUAAAGAAGCAACGGCUAACUACGUG